rnacentral:rRNA from 1 species
UGGGGAAUUUUGCACAAUGGGGGAAACCCUGAUGCAGCGACGCCGCGUGAUUUAGAAGGCCUUCGGGUUGUAAAAAUCUUUUCUAUGGGAAGAAAAUGACAGUACCAUAGGAAUAAGGACCGGCUAAUUACGUGCCAGCAGCCGUGGUAAUACGUAAGGUCCGAGCGUUGUCCGGAAUCAUUGGGCGUAAAGGGUACGUAGGCGGGUAAGCAAGUUAGAAGUGAAAUCCUAUAGCUCAACUAUAGUAAGCUUUUAAAACUGCUCAUCUUGAGGUAUGGAAGGGAAAGUGGAAUUCCUAGUGUAGCGGUGAAAUGCGCAGAUAUUAGGAGGAAUACCGGUGGCGAAGGCGACUUUCUGGCCAUAACCUGACGCUGAGGUACGAAAGCGUGGGUAGCAAACAGG